UACGAAGGGGGCUAGCGUCGCUCGGAAUUACUGGGCGUAAAGCGCACGUAGGCGGCUCUUUAAGUCGGGGGUGAAAUCCUGGAGCUCAACUCCAGAACUGCCUUCGAUACUGAAGAGCUCGAGUCCGGGAGAGGUGAGUGGAACUGCGAGUGUAGAGGUGAAAUUCGUAGAUAUUCGCAAGAACACCAGUGGCGAAGGCGGCUCACUGGCCCGGUACUGACGCUGAGGUGCGAAAGCGUGGGGAGCAAACAGG
rnacentral:rRNA from 1 species